AUGACUUAAUUAACUAUUUUGGUGAUGUACAAGAUGGAUUAAGUGAAUAGUUCACGUCCAAGAUAUGCGCACACCUCGGCUGUAGCUCGACACGCGCCGAUGCCCGGGAAGGUCAGUGAACGCCGAGGAUCUCCAGAACCCGUGAUCAUAACUAUGUAUAGAUCGACUACCCCGCGGGAGGUGACAGUGGUGGAUGGUGAACUACUAAUAAUAGCAUCCCCUCCAGCGCAGGAUCAUCGGAACGCUGACGGGAGCGCGCACAUGUGGCGCCCGUCGGCGUGCUGCUUUGCGUGCACGUUUAUUUUCGAUACGAUCGUCACGCGGUGCGGUUCACGGUGUUCCUUACAUAAGAGCCUCCGGCGAGACCCGUUGCGCCGCGUGCGCCUCGUGCGCCGCCGCGGUCGGCGAGGCUCCGCACCGGCGGCGACGUGCACCGCGGCCGCUCGUCGCACGCUGCAGGUCGGUGCACGCUCGGGUAACCGAUCCGUUUGACGCCCGCCGUCGGGUCUAUUUCGGGAAAAUACAAAUUUGGAAUGGAUGGUACUCGUGAGUCGUAAGCGAACUCCGCCGGUUGAGUCCAUUUUUAGAGCUGGUCUGCGCGUGCGCACCGAAAGCGCCGCCAGUGCUCAGCGAGCUGCCACCAAGCCGCGUCGCUCGUCACCCCCACCGCCCUCGACGGUUGUGGCGUUUUGCGGUCACCACCAGCCAACAAUUAAUGGCGUCCUGUGCUAAGCGAUAACUUAUGUAUUUUGUGUUUGGCAAACAUCCCUUUCGGCAGCCAUCAAGGAGAAAGGAGUACAGCAAUUUGAAGAGUGAAGAAAAGGCCUUGCGCGAGUUCCGUGCUUCCUUACUUCCCAUAGUGCUUAUAAUCAUAUGGAAUGUAAAGAAGUAUGGAGCUGCGCGGGCGUGUCCCCGAGUUUGGAAGCUGAAUCAUCAAUUCCUAUACAUGCGGAAAUAUCUGAGGAACAGUUACUUGUGUUAUCGUAUGAUAGUGUUUGAUUUAUUGGCUUUGAUUUGUGUAAUUUAAUGCCCUGUGGACUUAGUUUGCAUCGAGUUUUAAGAUAGGUAUAUCUUUUAAAAUAUGAGUAUAGGCGAAUCUUAAAAUUGUUUUUGCAUUGUAGUAUUUUGUUUUAUUCGUUUAUGGAUCUUUCUCAAAUUUCAAGAAAAACUGAUAUCUCCAUUAAAUAUCAACUAAUUUGGACAAUAUCAGAUCCUAUUUUCAAUGUUUUUUCAAAGGAUAUAGAAAUUUUAGAUUGUUUUUAUUUUUUGAAGGCCAAUAAAAGCUGCGAAGUAGUACGGAAAAAUAUGAAUUGUUUAUUCGGUGCCGAGUUGUCGUAAAAUAACAUCUGGCGUUGUGUAGGUAACAGUUCUGACUAAGGCAAUAUAAAUAAACGUAAAGCGGACGGUGCGGCGGCUUGGGCCUACAGCUUUUAACUUUAUUUGUAGUAGUAGAGAAAGGAAAUUCCCUGCCAGAAAAAGAUCGAAUUUCAUCUAGACAAUUUAUUUUAAAACACGUCAAUUAAAUGAAUGUAUAGAUAAAAAGUAGAGCGAGACGCGUAUGUGAUGCGUUCCGGGGAAUGUGGUGUGUAACAUUCGUUUAAAAAUUGUGUCAAACUACGACUAAUAAAAGCAAGAUUAUUUUUAUUUGUCUAAUGAAAAAUAUUUUAUACAUGGAAUUUUUUUUCGGUGAUGUUUCACCAAAGCCGGAAGGACCGUCAACUUUUUUUAUGUGGAUUUAAAAAAGUUUACAUGUGUGUUUUUAAACAUAUUAAAUAACGAAUGCAAAGACUAUAGCUUUCCUGAAAUUUGUAAGUCAUAUAAAUUUACUAAAUUUUUAAUUUUGAUAUUGAUUUUAAUUAUAUUUUGAUUUAAUUACAACGGCUUUUGAUUGUUAAACAUUAUUUUGUACGUUCUUGCUUUGUAAAUUAAUUAAAUGGAUACUGUCAUGAGGCGAUAAUAAUAAAAUAAGGCACUUUCAAUUAUAAAUAUGAAGUAGAUCUCUUAAGUCUUUUAAAUUUAUACGAGUCUUUAUUUUUGACGAAUUCAUUGUAAGAAUAUGUUAUCCUUGCGAACAUUGCCAAUGUGUUCCUCUACAAUAGUAAAAAAAGAGGGAUAAAAACAAAAAAAAAAAGGCGUUAGUAUAUUGGGGCCGCGCCUGCGCCACAUCUGGUGGAACACUGCAUCUCAUUAUGCGGAUCCGUCGCGGCUCAAUGGACGGCGACGGUGCUCGUGCCCAUGCCGUGACCGAAGACAAUGCGCCUAAUAAUAUUAUUAUCGACUCAACACAACGUUUUCCGUAUUCUUUAUUUUCACGGCUCCUUUGUCACUCGUAAAUGUUAAAUAACCAUUUUCUUUUAUAUGCAUGACAAUUAUUUCUGACUCUGGGCCUAUUGGAGCAUGCCGUGUACACUACACAUUUAGAGUUAUAAAUCAUACAUAAUGUUUUAUACUUCUUUAUUUUUAGUUUGCUACGUAUACCUAAUCACCAUUGUUAUCCUAUACAUAUUGUGUACUAAAACGACGUUUUUUGUUACUCCACGUGGUGCUAUACAUCACAGAAAACAUACGAGGAAUAAAAAAAUAUGCUUUGUAAUAUUUUAAACAUUUUUGUUUAAUACACAAGAAACUAUUAGUUUAUCUCCAUGUGUAGUAUGUCUAACGCAAAUAGCUAAUGUUAGAAUAUCUUAGGCGAUUUGGUUAAAUCCAGCAAUAUUGAAUUUUAUUAUCUAUAUUUAUAGAACAAUUGUAAUUUAAGAUAAAAGUAAUAUAGGUAAUUCCAAAAUGAGUUAAAAAGUUUUCCUUGUAUGUAAGUAAGUUGUGAUUUAAGUUAAGUUUUAAUACAGUUUUAUGUAAAAAUCUUUUAUUAUAUUAAAACUGCAUCGUCGGCGAUAGUAGAAUACCACGUAACUAGCAAAUACUGCGUAAGUAACGAAAAGGCCAUCAUUGAUGUUAUUUUACUAUUUGUUUAAAACACAUACAGAAUACAAUUAAAACAAGAUAUAACGAUAGCCAAUCGAGAUUAAUAAUCCUUUUUUUCUCUUUACUUUAUACGCAGUAUUGCACUAUCCCGGCCAUAUGUAAAUAUUAAACUUAUCACAACAGGUCUGAUAUUUUUUAAAAUACUAUUUCAUAAAUGUUUAAGGUGUAUUAUUUGUUACUUCAAACUAUAUUGUAUUCUUUACAGAUGACUCAAAAUAAUAAACGUUGAAUACAACAAUUUAAAA
rnacentral:lncRNA from 1 species